GGUUGACCUCGGAUCAGGUAGGGAUACCCGCUGAACUUAAGCAUAUCAAUAAGCGGAGGAAAAGAAACCAACCGGGAUUGCCUC
rnacentral:rRNA from 1 species